rnacentral:lncRNA from 1 species
GGCCUACCAGCAACCACACGAGUCAGCAGAAUCCUUUGGCUCCCAAUCGAGUCCAGAUGACCGCAGCCCCAGCCAACAGCUUAACUGCAACCCCAUACACUUCUGGAAACUGCACUUUCUGUGAAUUCAAUGAAGAGACAAGAAAUAGAAAUUGACAGUUAUGGAGCUGCUGGUAGGUGUCAGAUAUUUACUACAUAUGGUCCUACAAAUCCUCUUAUUCCAGCACCUCUGCUAAGAUGGGGUGCUGAGGCUUGGAGGCCAGGGAGCCUGCCCCCGUUUGCUCAGCUAAUAAAUGAAUAUGAGCUCUGACAUCCACACGUUUGUGAUCUAAACCCCACACUUUGUCUACCUAAUCUGUGUGUGCAUUUUCAAACAACAGACUAGGGGCCGGCCCAGUGGCGUACUGGUUAAGUUUGUGUGCUCCACUUCGGCAGCUCAGGGUUCACAGGUUCAGAUCCAGGCAUGGACGUAGC